rnacentral:rRNA from 1 species
GACGAACGCUGGCGGCGUGCUUAACACAUGCAAGUCGAACGGAAAGGCCCCCUUGUGGGGUACUCGAGUGGCGAACGGGUGAGUAACACGUGAGUAACCUACCCUUGACUUUGGGAUAACUUCAGGAAACUGGGGCUAAUACCGGAUAGGAGCUCCUGCUGCAUGGUGGGGGUUGGAAAGUUUCGGCGGUUGGGGAUGGACUCGCGGCUUAUCAGCUUGUUGGUGGGGUAGUGGCUCACCAAGGCUUUGACGGGUAGCCGGCCUGAGAGGGUGACCGGCCACAUUGGGACUGAGCUACGGCCCAGACUCCUACGGGAGGCAGCAGUGGGGAAUAUUGCACAAUGGGCGGAAGCAUGAUGCAGCAACGCCGCGUGCGGGAUGACGGCCUUCGGGUUGUAAACCGCUUUCGCCUGUGACGAAGCGUGAGUGACGGUAAUGGGUAAAGAAGCACCGGCUAACUACGUG